rnacentral:tRNA from 1 species
GCGCCUGUGGUGGAAUUGGCAGACACGCUAGAUUUAGGUUCUAGUGCGAGAGCGUGGGGGUUCAAGUCCCUCCAGGCGCACCA